GCAUUGGUGGUUCAGUGGUAGAAUUCUUGCCUUCCAUGCGGGGGACCUGAGUUCAAUUCUGGUCGAUGUA
rnacentral:tRNA from 1 species